ACGGGGUGCAGCAGGCGCGAAAACUUUGCAAUGUGCGAAAGCACGACAAGGUUAAUCCGAGUGGUUUCUGCUAAAGAAACCUUUUGUUAGUCCUAGAAACACUAACGAAUAAGGGGUGGGCAAGUUCUGGUGUCAGCCGCCGCGGUAAAACCAGCACCUCAAGUGGUCAGGAUGAUUAUUGGGCCUAAAGCAUCCGUAGCCGGCCCUGUAAGUUUUCGGUUAAAUCUGUACGCUCAACGUACAGGCUGCCGGAAAUACUGCAGAGCUAGGGAGUGGGAGAGGUAGACGGUACUCGGGAGGAAGGGGUAAAAUCCUUUGAUCUCUCGAUGACCACCUGUGGCGAAGGCGGUCUACCAGAACACGUCCGACGGUGAGGGAUGAAAGCUGGGGGAGCAAACCGGAUUAGAUACCCGGGUAGUCCCAGCUGUAAACUAUGCAAACUCAGUGAUGCAUUGACUUGUGGUCAAUGCAGUGCUGCAGGGAAGCCGUUAAGUUUGCCGCCUGGAAGUACGUACGCAAGUA
rnacentral:rRNA from 1 species